UGAACGCUGGCGGCAGGCUUAACACAUGCAAGUCGAGCGGUAACAGGGGGAGCUUGCUCCCCGCUGACGAGCGGCGGACGGGUGAGUAAUGCAUAGGAAACUGCCCAGUAGUGGGGGAUAGCCCGGGGAAACCCGGAUUAAUACCGCAUACGCCCUUCGGGGGAAAGCAGGGGAUCUUCGGACCUUGCGCUAUUGGAUGUGCCUAUGUCGGAUUAGCUAGUUGGUGGGGUAAGAGCCUACCAAGGCGACGAUCCGUAGCUGGUCUGAGAGGAUGAUCAGCCACAUCGGGACUGAGACACGGCCCGAACUCCUACGGGAGGCAGCAGUGGGGAAUAUUGGACAAUGGGGGCAACCCUGAUCCAGCCAUGCCGCGUGUGUGAAGAAGGCUUUCGGGUUGUAAAGCACUUUCAGUGAGGAGGAAAACCUUAAGUUUAAUACGCUUGAGGCUUGACGUUACUCACAGAAGAAGCACCGG
rnacentral:rRNA from 2 species